UUGCUUGACUCAAAAUGCACUUAAUAAGCAAUGACUGUAGUUCAAUAUUUUGUAAAUUAUCUCCAAAUAGUCCCUGUGACCAAGAAAAUCAUGUCAUUCCAAAAAAAAGACUGCAUUAGUCUCAGGUGAAUCUUAUUACUAAAAAUGGUGAGGAUAAGUACUGAGAAACCUGGCAUUUAUGCAGUGCCUUUGGUCUGUGAAUGCUUAUAUUGUUUUCCCUAAAGAGGAUUGUCUUUAGGACCACAAAAGGGAGGGAAUAUAUAUUUUAUAUUUCUAAAAGUUGGAAAUAGAAACUUAAAAAAAAGAAAUGGUAGUGUAUCUUUGGAUAAGGGAACACUUAACAACCACCACAAAUUUAUGACAUUUGGAACUACUGCCUUGAAGAAAAUAUUCAACUGCCAGACUAAAAUACGACAUCUUAAGGUAAUAAUAAUAAUUCCCAUUUUGAUUCAUACUAACAAUUCCCAGUGUAUCUGAUGGCAUAAACCUUCAGCUAUGUUACUCUUAUCUCUGCAUUUACCAAACACUAUAUUUGGGAAAAGGGGAAGGUAGUCCAGGAGGAAACUGGUUUUAAAAUUCUCUUUGAUAUUCCCUAUGUGCAUUUUACUUAUGCAAUACUUCCUUUACUUUUCUCAAAGGGUUGCUGUGGGAAAGCCACUUUGAAAGCCUUCAAGCACUGAAGAAAUGAGUUAUUAUUAGCACUGUUAUGUUUCAACUUUAGUAGGCAGUUACAUUUUAGAUUUUGUAUUCAGGAUACAGGUGAUGAGGCACAAGUAUAGGAUGCAUAAUCAAGAUUUUGAAUUAGGCUUUAAGUCAAUUAUGCCCCAGACUUGUGUCAAUAAAUGAUUCCCAUGGUAGAGUGGGGUAGCAGGGAGGUGUAAGGUCCCUAUCUGAACCCCACCACAUAAAUGAGAGACACCUCAUAUGCCAGUGGUAGCCGAUAGAGUAAGAAGAGUAAAAUGAAUGAAAGGAAUCAACUUUUAACUUAUUCUAAAGCACAGGAAAGACUAAAUUAAUACUGAAAUUCAGUCUAAUGCCUAUGUGAAUUUAAAUUAAUUUCAGUGAGAUAAAACUUCAGUGUGGGUCCAUAUGGGUAGUAGUUCCCAUUAGUUGUAUAGUCUGCUUCGCUAUAGAAUUUUCCAUAAAGGAAUUUGGAUACUCUAAAAGAAUAGGAUACUCCCAUAAAGAAAAGGACAUAAUGAAUUUUUGUCUGUGGAGGGCAGAUGAUUGAACCCUUUAGAUUUUUUUUUUUUUCAAAUGCGCCAACAUUGAUGUAGGUAAUUCCUUUUAGGCAACUCCCUCUCAACAGAGUUCUGUAACUUUGAGUCUUAGAGAUAG
rnacentral:lncRNA from 1 species